UCUCGCUGCCUCCGGACUCGGAGCGGCCGCCGGCGAUGUACCAGACCUUGGCCAUUUCGGCCUCGCAGGGCCCCGCGCCCUACGACGGAUCUCCGGGCGGCUUCAUGCACUCCGCGCCCAGCUCGCCCGUCUACGUGCCCACCACCCGCGUGGGCUCCGUGCUGCCCACGCUGCCCUACCUGCAGGGCGGCGGCGCGGCCCAGCCCGGCCACGCUCCGGCCGGCCACGUCUGGUCGCAGCCGGCGGCCGAGAGCCCCUCGUACGGCGCCGCGGGCGGCGCGCACCCCUCGGGCCGCUUCCCCUACUCGCCCAGCCCGCCCGUGGCCAACGGCGCCUCGCGGGAGCAGUACGGCGGCGGCCUGGCGGCGAGGGAGCAGUACGGAGCGCUGCCGCGGCCGCUCAACGGCUCCUACCCGGCGCCCUACGCCUCCUACGUGGGGCCGCAGCUCGGCCCUGCCUGGCCCGCGGCGCCCUUCGAGAACUCCGUGCUGCACUGCCUGCAGGGCCGCGCCGCGCCCAUCCCCGUGCGGGCUCCCAGCGCAGAGCUGCUGGAAGACCUCUCUGAAAGCCGCGAGUGUGUCAACUGCGGCUCCAUCCAGACCCCGCUUUGGAGGAGGGAUGGCACCGGGAAUUACCUGUGCAACGCCUGCGGGCUCUACACCAAAAUGAACGGCCUCAGCCGGCCCCUCAUCAAGCCCCAGAAGAGAGUGCCCUCGUCGCGGCGACUCGGCCUGUCCUGUGCCAACUGCCACACCACCACCACCACCCUCUGGCGCCGGAACGCCGAGGGCGAGCCCGUCUGCAACGCAUGCGGCCUCUACAUGAAGCUUCACGGGGUUCCCCGACCGCUUGCUAUGAAGAAAGAAGGAAUUCAGACAAGGAAACGAAAACCUAAGAACAUAAAUAAGUCAAAGGCAUGCUCUGGUAACAGUACUACUGCAGUUCCUAUGACUCCAACAUCCACGUCUUCUACUAACUCAGAUGACUGUAGCAAAAAUGCCUCCCCAAGCACACAGCCGGCAGCCUCGGGGGUUAUCUUCAGAUGUCUUCUUCUCUUCAACGUGACCUCACUGCUGCUCUGAAAUCCUUGUGUCCUGUUGUGUGGAGGUAGUCUCUUAGAGCGCCGCGUUCAAAGGGUUUCUGAAGUGGAGUCCAUGCCUUGAUUCCAGCUAUCUUCCCCUGCGCUUGAACAAAUCCCCUCAGUGGAUGAAUCCCUGUGCAUCUGAGAACUGCUGAGACCCUCAAACACAGGAGUGCAGGUUACAAAAGCAAAUCUACUCCAUGUCCAAAUGUGCCUGUGAAACCAACUGCAGUAAACCUUCAUGAGAUCAGACAGUGGAGUCACACAGGUGUCACCACUACAGCUUGCACAACCCAUAAGCACAGGAGACAACUUCUGCAUUGUAUGGACUAUCCGUAAUGCAAAGCAGUACAUUCAGAGGAUAACAAAGAUGGCAUUGAAUAUUUGACUGCUCAAAAACAACGGUUCUGGUCAUUUUGAACUUAUGUAGCAGACCCAGACUGAUGAAUCCUGCUGUAAUUCUGCCUUGUCAUGCACUCGUGAAAUGGGUUGGAUGUCCUUGAGGGCCAAGCCACGUCCUUGGCAAGAACCAAGUGCCUGCAGUUCUCUCCAAGAAGGGACAGUGCCCCUCCUGCUGCAAGCAACUCAACAACCCUUCAAGCAUUAAGGAGAAGCCCCGCUCAGCAGAGAUGCCAGCUGCUCUCCAUGCUGAGCCUCUUGUUCCUGAGCAGGCAGAUGGUGCAAGGCCCAUCACUCUGUGUGCACUCAGCUCAGGGCACAGCUGGAAAAUCCCACCUCCUGGCCAUUUCCCUGUCCAGGUGAAGACACCAUAGAAGUUCUGGAUACAUUCCAUCACUGACUGGGAAGCAUACCGUUGGGUAAAGGGCAGAGCAACCUGCUGUAGCUGUUGGUGUCUCUGUUCAUCGCAGGGUGGUUGGACUAGAUGACCUUUAAGGUCAUCUUCCAGCUCAAACAGUUCCAUGAUUCUGUGAUUCUGAGCCCUGCCUAGGAGCAGCUCACACACAGCACUCCAUGCAGAUGGAGAAGUUCCCAGAGAUGGGACUUAGGAACAGAUGGGUGUGUGAUUAAGUCCAGCCCUUACUAUUGGCCCAAGUACCCCUUUGGCACCUCAUGUUGCUUUACAACUUCCUCAAGCCUCUCAGUGCCUUGUCCCGACCACCUAAUACUCUUUCCAUACAUUCCAAAAUGCAGCUGAAAUCUGGACAGCGAGAAACCUGAGCAGUGCUGUGGAGCCCCCAGUUAUUCACAACACCUCGCAAUACAACCUAAGUGGGCGCUCCAGAAAGCACUGAUUUAACUUUCCUGUCUCCCAGUCAGCUGGAAAUCUAUCAGUGUAAAAUAUCUUCUGUCUGAGUAAAAGCUGUUUCCAGCUUUCUGAGCAGCCUAGGAGAACUGAGCCAUGGCCUGGCUUCUCAUCCCAGUUCUCCUCACUCAAACUGCACAUCCAGCUCAAGAAGGAGGCUUUAGAUGUGUGCUAGCCCAUAAUCGUGCCAGCAGUGUCUUUGCAGUCACGGAGGACUUUAUGCUAAAUGCUUCUCUCCCACAGUUCUAAAAUAGUAACUAACACAGCAAGCAACAAAUGACUACGGGGCUUCUCGAGCAGCAGAGUGCACACUGGUCCUGUCUCAAUGGAAAAAACAAAAAAAAGAAGAAGAAUUUUGCCAAAGGUUUGAAUGGGAGAAAGAGCUUGUGGCUGACCACACAGCAAAGGGCUUUAUUUAUUUAUUUAUUUAUUUAAUGUCAAGUAAAUGCAAUUUAUAAGCCGUUGCCCGCAGAGUUUUCUAUUCAAAAGUAGGUGUAGUAGGUCGAAAAUCAAGAGACCAAAAGGCACAGGUGACACAAUCUGAGCACAGGACCAUUGUGUUGGGCCCAGCCCCGCUGCCCCAGCCACAACACUGUGAGGAAGUGCCACACAAACAGAGGAAGCAGAAUUCGGGCCGAGAAGGAUUUAGUAACCGCAUUACUACGCUCUCAGCACUGAUGCCUGCAAAAGAUAAAACCUGGGAAAAGACCUCGGGUUCCUACUCCUUAUUGUUGCUACCGGGGAUUUAGCUUGUAUGUCUGAACUGUGUACAUAUUUCACUGGUCUAGGUGGGGCACCGCCAGCAUAUUUGUACGGGCUGGGACAGUGACAGGACUGCUGAUGUUUACAAUAACAGGUUAGAGGGACUUUGCCAAAGCAUUCUUAGUUUUUAAAAUGAUCAGGGCGACCUAGCCCCCUUCCCCCUCUCCAUUGUUACUUCAUCUGCGGGAUUUACGGAAGAAGGAAAUGGUAAAUUACAAGAAAAAAAAAUAGUAUUUAUCUUGCCAGGACAUGUUGCUUUGAACUCGGAUGAUAUUAACAUAUCAAUCAGAUUCAGUGAUACGUUAAACAAGGUUGUCCCUGGUUUAUGGUUCACUGAGUCUGGGAGCUGAACUAUGGCUUUGUAUUCCUCUGUCUGAAUCCUUCCCCAGAGCAUACCACAUUGGUAGCCAGCACCAGGAGGGAUUUGUUUUGUCUUGUUGACCCAAAAUGAAGCCCAUUUCCAUUGAACUUCCAGUGAAUAUUUGCCCAGGUAGGUAUGUUUCAAAACAGUGAUAAUGGCUGAAAAUCCUUGGAGGAAGAAAUCUAAGACUAAAGAACACAAUCAGAAGCUACAAGCGCACUGUUUAGAGUAGUCUUGUGAGAGGAAAUAUUUCAGAUGACAUUUCCAGUUCCCAAUCAAAGCUUGGCCAAUUAGAUGGAAAAUUAAUUUAGAAAGGAAGCAUUAAUUAGAUUUUUAUAUACAUGUUAACUCCAAAAUUUCACGAGGCUUCAAAUAUUUGCCUGCUUCGCUCAGCCAUUUCCUGAUUAUGGAAUAUCCAUUAUUUUACAGAAACUCUUCAGGCUGGGGACAGCUUAAUUUCACUACAUGGCUUCCUCUGGGGAUGGCUAGGAACUUGUUUCUUGAGUGUUAAAUGGCAGCACUGAGCUGGGUAGUGAUUUGAACUGGUCUGCACUGGAUUUACCAUGCUAAGCAGCACACCGAUCCACUGGCUACAAAGAAUUUUAAAAAAAAAGACGAGAGAAAGAGAGAGCAAAUCAAGCAAUUCCCACAGGUGGUAGCCUGGAAAAAAAUCUUACCGUCUUCUUUCUUUUCUCUGCUAGGAAAUGGCACAGACAACAAAAUGAAGAAAUACAUCUAAAGAAUCUUUAACUUCAUUUGUUUCUGUUUGCAAAAUGAUACUCCUCCGUUUUAUAAGCCAACAGUGAGAACAGAUACUGCUAAAUAAAUUGCAUAGUAACCAAAUAACUAAUUUAAUAAACAAUAACAACGCUCACAAAUAAAGUUAAUCCUCAGAGCUUUAAACCAAUACAUAAA